rnacentral:rRNA from 1 species
UACAGAGACUGCAAGCGUUAUUCGGAUUCACUGGGCGUAAAGAGCGCGCAGGCGGUCGUUCAAGUCGAGUGUGAAAGCCCCCGGCUCAACUGGGGAGGGUCAUUCGAUACUGAUCGACUCGAAGGCAGGAGAGGGAAGUGGAAUUCCCGGUGUAGUGGUGAAAUGCGUAGAUAUCGGGAGGAACACCAGUGGCGAAGGCGACUUCCUGGCCUGUUCUUGACGCUGAGGCGCGAAAGCUAGGGGAGCAAACGGG